rnacentral:rRNA from 1 species
AUUGAACGCUGGCGGCAGGCCUAACACAUGCAAGUCGAGCGGAUGAAGGGAGCUUGCUCCUGGAUUCAGCGGCGGACGGGUGAGUAAUGCCUAGGAAUCUGCCUGGUAGUGGGGGAUAACGUCCGGAAACGGGCGCUAAUACCGCAUACGUCCUGAGGGAGAAAGUGGGGGAUCUUCGGACCUCACGCUAUCAGAUGAGCCUAGGUCGGAUUAGCUAGUUGGUGGGGUAAAGGCCUACCAAGGCGACGAUCCGUAACUGGUCUGAGAGGAUGAUCAGUCACACGGGACCUGAGUCGGGGUCCGUACAGCGACGGGAGGCAGCGGAGGAGAAUAUAGGGCUAUGGGCGCGAGCAGGAGAGAGGCAUGCGGGGUGUGUGAAGAGGGUCUGAGGAUUGAAAAGAAAUUGAAGGUGGGAGAGAGGGAAGUAAUUUAAUACCGUGGUAUUUUGACAUUAACAAAAGAAUCAGCCCCGAAUACCUGGCGGCCAGCAGCCGGGGAAUAGAACGAAAAACCACACCCCUAAU